UAGCCGUAAACGAUACUCGCUAGGUGUCGGCCACGGUGCGACCGUUGUCGGUGCCGUAGGGAAGCCGUGAAGCGAGCCACCUGGGAAGUACGGCCGCAAGGCUGAAACUUAAAGGAAUUGGCGGGGGAGGCACCACAACGGGUGGAGCCUGCGGUUUAAUUUGGACUCAACGCCGGGAAGCUCACCGGAUAAGACAGCGGAAUGAUUGCCGGGCUGAAGACCCUGCAUGACCAGCUGAGAGGUGGUGCAUGGCGUAGUCG
rnacentral:rRNA from 1 species